UGGCGGCGUGCCUAAUACAUGCAAGUCGAGCGGACAGAUGGGAGCUUGCUCCCUGAUGUUAGCGGCGGACGGGUGAGUAACACGUGGGUAACCUGCCUGUAAGACUGGGAUAACUCCGGGAAACCGGGGCUAAUACCGGAUGGUUGUCUGAACCGCAUGGUUCAGACAUAAAAGGUGGCUUCGGCUACCACUUACAGAUGGACCCGCGGCGCAUUAGCUAGUUGGUGAGGUAACGGCUCACCAAGGCGACGAUGCGUAGCCGACCUGAGAGGGUGAUCGGCCACACUGGGACUGAGACACGGCCCAGACUCCUACGGGAGGCAGCAGUAGGGAAUCUUCCGCAAUGGACGAAAGUCUGACGGAGCAACGCCGCGUGAGUGAUGAAGGUUUUCGGAUCGUAAAGCUCUGUUGUUAGGGAAGAACAAGUGCCGUUCAAAUAGGGCGGCACCUUGACGGUACCUAACCAGAAAGCCACGGCUAACUACGUGCCAGCAGCCGGGCAAAUA
rnacentral:rRNA from 1 species